ACCACAACUCGUCCGUUUGGAAGCUGAAUUUCCUGUGUGCCCAGGCCUGUCUACCAAGGUCCUCAUGCCCAUGUAGCCUGGUUUGAAGACUGCAAAGGACACAAGGAAAAUGAUCCUGAGCUUGCGGUGAGAGAAGAGCAGGACACGUCGCUGUGAGAACUGAGAAUUGCCCAGAAUUCCCUUGUCGGCCGCACAGUCCUCAUCAUGUGCUGACACGGCAGAAGCAACAAGAGAAAACCUGCUGCAGAAAACAGGUGGAAGCUUGGAAUGAUACUGUACUUGAAGAUGAAUCCUUCGAAGAAAUCAAAUCUGCUGGGAACUUGACAUUGGACUUUGUAUCUCCAGAAGAAUGAAAAAUGAAUGUCUACUCUUCAAACUGUAAAGUCUAGUGUUUUGUUGUAGAGACCCCACCAAGCAAGUAUGGAAUGAGAACACUAGGCUGUGGAUCAUGGCUGCUUCUCUAGCCUGGGCCCUGGAAUGGAAUACAAGCUGUUGGGAACCAAGAGGAGAGUCAUUGAGACUGGACAAGUCAGGAUGAAUCCGGAGGAGCUCAAUCACACCUAGGUCUCUCACUAGGAAAUGGAGCUUGUGAUUAGGCCAGGCUGACCAGCAGGUGAGCUCCAGGGAUCAGCGUCUCCCACCUCUUC